GCAGAAGAGACUCUGCAGUGUUGUACAGA
rnacentral:piRNA from 1 species